rnacentral:rRNA from 1 species
UUCCUCCAGAUCUCUACGCAUUUCACCGCUACACCUGGAAUUCUACCCCCCUCUACAAGACUCAAGCUUGCCAGUUUCAAAUGCAGUUCCCAGGUUGAGCCCGGGGAUUUCACAUCUGACUUAACAAACCGCCUGCGUGCGCUUUACGCCCAGUAAUUCCGAUUAACGCUUGCACCCUCCGUAUUACCGCGGCUGCUGGCACGGAGUUAGCCGGUGCUUCUUCUGCGAGUAACGUCAAUCGCUAAGGUUAUUAACCUUAACGCCUUCCUCCUCGCUGAAAGUACUUUACAACCCGAAGGCCUUCUUCAUACACGCGGCAUGGCUGCAUCAGGCUUGCGCCCAUUGUGCAAUAUUCCCCACUGCUGCCUCCCGUAGGAGUCUGGACCGUGUCUCAGUUCCAGUGUGGCUGGUCAUCCUCUCAGACCAGCUAGGGAUCGUCGCCUAGGUGAGCCAUUACCCCACCUACUAGCUAAUCCCAUCUGGGCACAUCUGAUGGCAUGAGGCCCGAAGGUCCCCCACUUUGGUCUUGCGACGUUAUGCGGUAUUAGCUACCGUUUCCAGUAGUUAUCCCCCUCCAUC